rnacentral:lncRNA from 1 species
GGAGGCAAGGGGUGUAGCCCUCCUGGUGCCUGGAAGGGCUGUGUGGGCCCCCAUGGCGGGUGCUCCUCACUCACUCAGGCACCAAUCAUGAGCCUCCACUGAGAAGCUUCCACAGCAGCCCCAGGGUCAGCACCAGGCACCAAGUGCAUGCCAACCCUGGUCAGUGAGCCUUGAUUGAAGGCCUACGGCUCGCCCACCCCAAGGAGUUCGAUCUGAUCUCUGGGGCAAACGAUUCCUACACAGAGUGGAGUAGGGGUCUCCACACAGCAUAGCCAGCCACAGACAUGGAGCCUCUGCAGAGCUGGGCACAGUGGAGGGAGGCUGAGAUACGGCUAAAGGAAACAGCCAAGGCGCCUGAGGAGCCCCAAGCUUAGCGGCUCCAUUCACAGACAAGGAAUCCAUGCCCCACAUCUCCUUAGGUGGCAGGAGACAGGCACCUGGCCUUCCUCG